AAUAAAAAAUUAAAUGAUUGUUUUAUUAAUUUAACUACUUCUCAUGCAAUAAAUCAACAUCACAGCAUAUUUUCUUCUCGUUUUUAUUUGCAUACAUAAAAUUGCAUUGCAUUUCACUGGGGACUUGGAAAAAAAAUAAGAAAAAUUACAGAUAUGACGCGACUAAAACGAAUUCAAAAGAAGGCAGAUUCAAUGUUCUAUAAAUGACACUUGAAAGAUUGGCCAUACAAUUAUGUAAAUUGCUUGUAUGAAACAUGUUGGUUGAUAAGUAAUAAUUAUUUUAAUAUGAGUGUAAGAUUUGUUAUGCCUGUUUUCAACUGUUUUUUCUUUGCAGAAUAUGAUUGACAGAAUUAAAACAAGCAAUUUUCAUUUUCUUCACUUCGAACAUUCUAGGACAUAAAGGAUAUUCACAAUUAAUGUUUUUCAAUUACGUUCAUGAACGUUGAUAAAUUAUUCGAUGGUAGUAAAUACUGUGACAGAGUGUCCAAUAUUCAAUUUCUGCACUGUUCGCGCCUAGAUUUGUUACGAGUUAUUAUUCACACAGUAUAUAUCAUGUCGAUAACCAUUUCAAUUAGCCAAUGAAAGCAUUUUCGAGGCAAUCUCAUAGCCAAGAUCUUGUUUCACGAGACCACCUGGUAUGCAACAAGUCCGACAACUUGUAGACAGAGUCACGAGUGAAGAAUAUAUCGCCCUCUAUCUUGUUUGUAUACGAUCAUUAUGGAUUAUAUUGAUGUAUUCAGUAUCUUUACGAAAGUCUUGCUCAGUGACAUGUGUUACAAAAGGCACACCUUCAAUCUUAAGUAUUAGGCAAUUUAUGGAGAAAUAGAAAAUUCAAUAAAAAUGAAGACGAAGUUACGACAAACUUUAUCAAACUUCUAAAAUACGUACAAUUUUCUAACAUGAAAUGUGAAAUUUACGAUUGAAGUAUUCAAAUAUUAUAUUUAAACAUUUAUGAUAUUCUAUAUAACAGUAUCACUUUGUGAAAGGAUACGGAAUUGAAAUCAUUGAUGAACAUGGUAAUAAUAUUUUACGAAUCGAACGAAACUAUGGCGAAAAUACACGUGAGAUAUCGUAAUUUUCCAUAUUCGGUAGCAAUGUAAAUGAUGUCUCGUUGAUAUUGAUAUUCUAUUGUAUUAUUUUUAUCGAUGAACGUCUGUCACGUUUGAGAAUUCUUGUGGGAGGAUCCAUGCAAAGAUAUACAUUAUGGAUUCCAAAAUUGGCUUUGACAUAUAGACCAUAAAACACAGAGUUUACAAGCUUGAAAAUAGCCCGGGUUCCCGAGGUUAUUUGAGUUCUUAAAAACCAAUCAAUUCUCUUUCUUUCCCUUUCUCUAAAUUUACAAGCCCAUAACUAAUAGAUUUCUUAACACUUAAGGAAAAAAGAUACAUAAUUCCUAUAUUUUCUUCUGUAUGAAGAGCAUCUAACUACGUAAUAAUACCUGUUACGUUUCGCACAAAUCAACAGAUGAUUUAUGGGCAACAAAUCCACGACAACUAUAACACACGCUUACGUGUAGAUUUAUAAAUACCAACAUCCACGCGUUUUUAUAAAUCCGACAUUAAUCAAUUGCAUGACAUUCGUGCAAUUUAUUAUAAGAUUUGUUAAUCUCCUUAAGGAACCUCCUAAUCAAUUUUUAAAAGAGGCAAGUGCACUACCACCAGCCGAGAUUCAUCGAGAUUCGACGAGGCGUCAAAUCAAAAAAUUCCCUCUCCUACCGAAAGAGAAAAGGAAAUUUCUUUCUCCUCGUGAAGGGACGAUUAACAAACCGAGCCUCAUAAAUUUUCUCGGUAAGGUCGGCCCAACGAGGGCGCACGCAUCUUUUAUAGCCCUGGACGUGACAGAGGGAUCGAUGGAUACGAUUCCGCUCGGAUUGUGCACACAGCGACAAAUCGUGUUCACGACUUCCGAUCUCGAUUCUCGAUUACCCCUCCGUACCGGUGUCGAUAAUUAUAAACAAAAGGGGAAAAGGGGGACGGAAUGAGGGGUCGCGGAGCGACGAGAAAGAGAGAGAGAGAGAGAGAAGGCUUCUUGGAAAGGGCGUUUAUAAAUCACGAAUCGCAGGCAACCCCUAAUCUUCCACCCUGUUUCUCGAGCCUCGCUGUCUUCCUCCUGUAGUACUUUUCUUCCCCGCUCCACUCGUAUUUUGAUUUUGCACGCGAAACCACCAUCACUCCACCAUUCAUCAUCCGACGCAGAGCUGCCUUCUCUCUUUCUGUUUCCGCUUUUCCAGCCCCUUAUAUAUAUAAAAUAUAUAUAUAUAAGCAAUCUCCCUCCAUGGCCCGAUGAAAUUCGUCUCGAAUCACUGGAUAAUUAAGCGGCGAGCGAGUGAAAUAAAGGAAGAGGAGAUUCGAGAAGGCGAUCACCUCCGGCCAGCGUGGAAUGAUAAUGGGAAUAAUAUCUUCAUGGUUGGCGAGCUACGGCCAAGUAUAACGGUCAACGAUUCCAUCCGUGCGUCCGUACGCGGAGGAACUGGCAAUGAUUCAUAAGAAUUGGAAUGGGGAAGGGUGGGCCGGAGGGGAGGCGUGGAUUAAUUGAUACCGAGAAUGGGAAUUAAGGCUGGAAUCGGCGAAGGUUUCGCGAUGCUGCUUGGGAGAAGAUUAAUCGCGCGCGAACGAGACGGGGAAAGUUUGGAAAAUUGGAUAAUCCUUGUUGUAAUUUUUUUUAGGAAUUUUUUAAUUCUCUGUUCUUCUAGUUUAUACGGAGUGAGGACUAAUGAUUGUUAACAAGAAAAAGGAAGAAAUGAAUAUGGAAAAAAUUAAGAUACAAGGUUAAGGUUGAGAUCUUUUGUGUAUUCAAUUAUUUUAUCGUAUGAGAUCCACUUUUCAAGUCGAACGAUAGUGUUACAGUCGAUAUUUUCACGAGAAUUUACGAGUCGUUGGUCAGAGAACGAUACUUUAAUAAACCUAUAUUCGAUGCAUCGUGCAUAAGAGAACUUCGAACGUAUAUAAUAAAUCCUUGUUCAGACUUAUUGUUCCUUGGGGGCCCGACGCGAGGAAGAGAACAAGUAAAAGAAGAAAUCUUCAUAAUAGAGACUCCUACGGUACCUUCGUGAACAAAUGUGAGAACAUCGAAGCUGCUUGUUACCAAAGGAUUCAUGCUUCUUCGACAGAAUCGAGCUCCUAGAAACUCUAUUUAAAUUCCUUUACACCGUGUAACCGUGAUUAAGUACAAGUUAUCCUAGCAAUUGAUGAUUUUUGUCCAAAAGAAAAGUAAAAUCAUUCUUCUUCUCAAAGAGUAAAAAAAUCAAAGAACAGAAGAAAAACAAUUAAUCAAAAAACUCGAACUUGAAAGAGGACAACCAAAGGAUACCGCAACCAGCUUUUACGAGAAGAAUAUAUAAAUUUAUAUAUCGAAAGAUAUACACUCUUUCUGUAAUUACAGUUGUCGACAGGAUGAUAAAGUAACCUUAGAACCUUUCACACACGCGAAUUCCUCCUGCGAGCAUCGCCAAUUUUUCGUUCCUCAUCGAUGAAAACGUACACGACAUAUACAUAUAUCUAUACGUGUAUAUAUAUAUAUAUAUAUAUACAUUGACUCGCUAAAAUAUAUUAAUCGGUCGUACGACAAGUAGAAAAAUGGAAUUAUCCCGGGCACAUCCACUGUCGUCACAGUCGAGAACGAUUGAUCGUUGGUGGAUGAUGAUCAAUCGACGAGGCAGCAGGCCGGACGUCAAAACGGCGCGGUGUCCGUCGAGCCGUCCCGCAGGAUUUGCCGGUCGUCGUGGAGGUGGAAUCCUCCUACUACUACUCUAUUUCCUCCUACUUCACCUACUCGUUUUUCGUUGGACGAGGAACCGGCCACGGGGAUGGCGAUCAGAGUGUGAACGCGAGCACACGAGUAAGGGAGGAGGCGAGAAACUGGUCAAAGAUCCGUGGCUACGAGCAGCUAGAGCCUCUGGUGAACGGAGAGGAUCGUACCUGCAACGAGAGGAUCCACCGGUGUUCAUCGUAUCGAGCAAGGAGCAAAGCGAUACGACGCUUUGUCGACGUUAUAAAAAUAAUCAGAAUGAUUUUUAUUAGGACUUGGAAAAGCGAGAAUUUUGGAUUUGGUCUUUUAAAAAUGUUUUAGCAUCCCUUGCUGUAAAUAUAGCGAUAUAUUCUUUGCUGUAUUGUUUAAAUGAAGCAGAUGCAAGGGGAAGAUGAAAGUGUCAAGAAUUCAGGACAAGUAAUUCUCUAAUUAAGUAUUCUUACCGUAAUAUCGUCACUUACGUUUAUAGUUCUACUAAAAUUGCACAUAUAUUUCCCUUCUUAAACGUAAAUGAUAAAAUAAGUUAAUUUAUGAAAAUUUGUAUUAUGGUAUAAUUUAAUUUUUUAAUAAUUUAAUUUUCCGUUCAACUCAAAAUAGGAUUUGAGAUUGUUCUAUUUUUAUUCGUAAUAUAUUUACUGUUUAUCCAAAGAAUGUGGUAAGCCGGGCAAACAGUUAACUAUUGAACCAAUUACGUGUACGAUUUGCCAAUUAGUUUCGAAGAGAAAGCGGGAUCGUAUAUUAUUCGAGAACUCCAAGUUACCAUUAGAAAUAUUACACAGAAAGUAUCUAGAAAGAGCCGGUUGUUUAUUCUCCAGUAGUCGUUUGGUUUUCUAAUUUUUCGUUUUUCUCUAAUAUUUUGAUAUUUUCAUUAAAUAAUUUUGUCGAAGAAAGAAAAACGAAAGAAAUACGGAAGAAUCUAUUUUCGAUUUGAACAAUGGAUUUCUACUUUCAUUCGUCUCUUUUUCGCUAAUAAAUUAUGCUCAAUCUUUCGAUUUAUUCGUUUUAUUAUUAUGCUCUAAUAAAGUAAUAUACGUGUAUUCUUAUAUUUUAUAAAUAUCGAAGAUUAAUGUUGUAAAAAUUCAUAUUUAUAUAAAUACAUUUCCAUUUUAUUUUUAAUUACGUCAAUGGAUAGAAUUUACGUAAUGCGCGAACACAAAAUGCUUACCCCAAACUGUUUUGUAGCCUGUGCGGAUCGAGGAUUCGCGUAAUAUGGCGUACAAAUCGUUACAAGAGCGUUAAUGGUAAUUAACAAAUGAGGCAAUUAAUACUAAUGACUGUUCAAUUUGUUGAUUACUUGAAGAGAUUGAACGCGUGCAAAACGUUCGUACAAAACUUUAUUUCGAAAUCCCAUAUAAUUCAAUAGCCUCUCCUUUUUCCCCUCCAAUAACAUUUAUGAAUCUUUAAUUUUUCAAACCUGGAUUCACUCGUCGAUUCGAUUUAAAUC
rnacentral:lncRNA from 1 species